CCACAACGGGUGGAGCCUGCGGUUUAAUUGGACUCAACGCCGGAAAGCUCACCGGAGACGACAGCGGGAUGAGGGCCAGGCUGAUGACCUUGCUAGACUAGCUGAGAGGAGGUGCAUGGCCGCCGUCAGUUCGUACCGUGAGGCGUCCCGUUAAGUCAGGCAACGAGCGAGACCCGUACCCACAGUUGCCAGCGGCUGCUCCGGCAGGCUGGGUACACUAUGGGGACCGCCUCUGCUAAAGAGGAGGAAGGAGCGGGCGACGGUAGGUCAGUAUGCCCCGAAUUCUCCGGGCUACACGCGGGCUACAAUGGAUGGGACAAUGGGCUCCGACACCGAAAGGUGAAGGCAAUCUCUUAAACCCAUUCUUAGUUCGGAUUGAGGGCUGAAACUCGCCCUCAUGAAGCUGGAAUCCGUAGUAAUCGCGUUUCAAAAUAGCGCGGUGAAUACGUCCCUGCUCCUUGU
rnacentral:rRNA from 1 species